rnacentral:rRNA from 1 species
UACGAAGGGAGCUAGCGUUGUUCGGAAUCACUGGGCGUAAAGCGCACGUAGGCGGAUUAGUAAGUCGGGGGUGAAAUCCCGGGGCUCAACCUCGGAACUGCCUUUGAUACUGCUGAUCUCGAGUCCGGAAGAGGUGAGUGGAAUUCCUAGUGUAGAGGUGAAAUUCGUAGAUAUUAGGAAGAACACCAGUGGCGAAGGCGGCUCACUGGUCCGGUACUGACGCUGAGGUGCGAAAGCGUGGGGAGCAAACAGG